rnacentral:rRNA from 1 species
UACGAAGGGGGCUAGCGUUGCUCGGAAUCACUGGGCGUAAAGCGCACGUAGGCGGCUUCUCAAGUCAGGGGUGAAAUCCUGGAGCUCAAUUCCAGAACUGCCUUUGAUACUGAGGGGCUCGAGUCCGGGAGAGGUGAGUGGAACUGCGAGUGUAGAGGUGAAAUUCGUAGAUAUUCGCAAGAACACCAGUGGCGAAGGCGGCUCACUGGCCCGGUACUGACGCUGAGGUGCGAAAGCGUGGGGAGCAAACAGG